rnacentral:rRNA from 1 species
UACGUAGGGGGCUAGCGUUGUCCGGAAUCAUUGGGCGUAAAGAGCGUGUAGGCGGUCCGGUAAGUCCGUUGUGAAAGUCAGGGGCUCAACCCUUGAAUGCCGGCGGAUACUGUCGGGCUAGAGUCCGGAAGAGGCGAGUGGAAUUCCUGGUGUAGCGGUGAAAUGCGCAGAUAUCAGGAGGAACACCGAUUGCGAAGGCAGCUCGCUGGGACGUAACUGACGCUGAGACGCGAAAGCGUGGGGAGCAAACAGG